CCUACGGGAGGCAGCAGUGGGGGAUAUUGCACAAUGGGGGAAACCCUGAUGCAGCGACGCCGCGUGGGCGAAGAAGUAUUUCGGUAUGUAAAGCCCUAUUAGCAGGGAAGAAGAACUGACGGUACCUGAGUAAGACGCACCGGCUAAAUACGUGCCAGCAGCCGCGGUAAUACGGAUGGGGCAAGCGUUAUCCGGAUUUACUGGGUGUAAUGGGCGCGCAGGCGGGACGGCAAGGGUGAUGUGAAAGCCCGGGGCCCAACCGGGGGACUGCAUUGGGAACUGCCGGGCUGGAGUGCGGGAGAGGUAGGCGGAAUUCCGAGUGUAGCGGUGAAAUGCGUAGAUAUAAGGAGGAACACCAGUGGCGAAGGCGGCCUACUGGACGGUGACUGACGCUGAGGCUCGAAAGCGUGGGGAGCAAACAGGAUUAGAUACCCUAGUAGUC
rnacentral:rRNA from 1 species